rnacentral:rRNA from 1 species
AGAGUUUGAUCCUGGCUCAGGAUGAACGCUAGCUACAGGCUUAACACAUGCAAGUCGAGGGGAAACGGCAUUGAGUGCUUGCACUCUUUGGAUGUCGACCGGCGCACGGGUGAGUAACGCGUAUCCAACCUGCCCUUCACCACGGGAUAACCCGGCGAAAGUCGGACUAAUACCGUAUGUUGUCCAUUGACGGCAUCCGAUUUGGACGAAAGGCUUAGCGGUGAGGGAUGGGGAUGCGUCCGAUUAGCUCGACGGCGGGGUAACGGCCCACCGUGGCGACGAUCGGUAGGGGUUCUGAGAGGAAGGUCCCCCACACUGGAACUGAGACACGGUCCAGACUCCUACGGGAGGCAGCAGUGAGGAAUAUUGGUCAAUGGGCGGAAGCCUGAACCAGCCAAGUAGCGUGCAGGAUGACGGCCCUAUGGGUUGUAAACUGCUUUUAUGCGGGGAUAAAGGAGCCCACGUGUGGGCUUUUGCAGGUACCGCAUGAAUAAGGACCGGCUAAUUCCGUGCCAGCAGCCGCGGUAAUACGGAAGGUCCGGGCGUUAUCCGGAUUUAUUGGGUUUAAAGGGAGUGUAGGCGGUCUGUUAAGCGUGUUGUGAAAUUUAGGUGCUCAACAUUUAACUUGCAGCGCGAACUGUCAGACUUGAGUACACGCAGCGCAGGCGGAAUUCAUGGUGUAGCGGUGAAAUGCUUAGAUAUCAUGAGGAACUCCGAUCGCGAAGGCAGCCUGCGGGAGUGUUACUGACGCUUAAGCUCGAAGGUGCGGGUAUCGAACAGGAUUAGAUACCCUGGUAGUCCGCACAGUAAACGAUGGAUGCCCGCCGUUGGCGCCCUGCGCCUGCGGCCAAGCGAAAGCAUUAAGCAUCCCACCUGGGGAGUACGCCGGCAACGGUGAAACUCAAAGGAAUUGACGGGGGCCCG